rnacentral:rRNA from 1 species
UACGUAGGGUGCAAGCGUUAAUCGGAAUUACUGGGCGUAAAGCGUGCGCAGGCGGUUGUGCAAGACCGAUGUGAAAGCCCCGGGCUCAACCUGGGAAUGGCGAUGGAUACUGGCUCGCUAGAGUGCGGUAGAGGAGAGUGGAAUUCCCGGUGUAGCAGUGAAAUGCGUAGAGAUCGGGAGGAACAUCAGUUGCGAAGGCGGCUCUCUGGACCAGCACUGACACUGAGGCACGAAAGCGUGGGGAGCAAACAGG